ACAAUCUUACUUGAACAAGACCUAUCCAUACUUUCAUAGGUUUUACAACUGUCAUUGAGUUCUAAGGAGACAAGAACCAAAGUCUGGUGGAUGAAUUACUGCCUUGUGGCUACUGCAUGAUUAACGCUAACGGGUCUUGGUCCAGCAGCUGUAGAGGAUCGUUCUUGACAGGCUCUAACCUGCUGGGAUGGCCACAAGGCUGUCUGACAGACU
rfam:Cucumis sativus cultivar 9930 chromosome 1, whole genome shotgun sequence.